UACGUAGGGUGCAAGCGUUGUCCGGAAUUAUUGGGCGUAAAGAGCUCGUAGGCGGUCUGUUGCGUCGGCUGUGAAAACCCGGGGCUCAACUCCGGGCCUGCAGCCGAUACGGGCAGACUAGAGUUCGGCAGGGGAGACUGGAAUUCCUGGUGUAGCGGUGAAAUGCGCAGAUAUCAGGAGGAACACCGGUGGCGAAGGCGGAUCUCUGGGCCAUUACUGACGCUGAGGAGCGAAAGCGUGGGGAGCGAACAGG
rnacentral:rRNA from 1 species